rnacentral:rRNA from 1 species
UACGUAGGGUGCAAGCGUUAAUCGGAAUUACUGGGCGUAAAGCGUGCGCAGGCGGUUAUGCAAGACAGAUGUGAAAUCCCCGGGCUUAACCUGGGAACCGCAUUUGUGACUGCAUAGCUGGAGUACGGCAGAGGGGGAUGGAAUUCCGCGUGUAGCAGUGAAAUGCGUAGAUAUGCGGAGGAACACCGAUGGCGAAGGCAGUCCCCUGGGCCUGUACUGACGCUCAUGCACGAAAGCGUGGGGAGCAAACGGG